rnacentral:rRNA from 1 species
UACGGAGGGUGCAAGCGUUAUCCGGAUUUACUGGGUUUAAAGGGUGCGUAGGUGGGUGAAUAAGUCAGCGGUGAAAUCUCCGGGCUUAACUCGGAAACUGCCAUUGAUACUAUUCGUCUUGAAUAUCCUGGAGGUGAGCGGAAUAUGUCAUGUAGCGGUGAAAUGCUUAGAUAUGACAUAGAACACCUAAUUGCGAAGGCAGCUCACUACGGGAUUAUUGACACUGAGGCGCGAAAGCGUGGGGAGCAAACAGG